AUUGAACGCUGGCGGCAGGCCUAACACAUGCAAGUCGCACGAGUGGCGGACGGGUGAGUCCUGUCUGGGACCCUGCCUGAUGGAGGGGGCUCACUACUGGACACGGUAGCUAAUACCGCAUACCAUCGGAUGUGCCCAGAUGGGAUUAGCUAGUCGGUGGGGUAAAGGCUCACCUAGGCGACGCGCCCUAGCUGGUCUGAGAGGAUGACCAGCCACACUGGAACUGAGACACGGUCCAGACUCCUACGGGAGGCAGCAGUGGGGAAUAUUGCACAAUGGGCGCAAGCCUGAUGCAGCCAGGCCGCGUGUAUGAAGAAGGCCUUCGGGUUGUAAAGUACUUUCAGCGGGGAGGCGUUACCCGCAGAAGAAGCACCGGCUAACUCCGUGCCAGCAGCCGCGGUAAUUC
rnacentral:rRNA from 1 species